rnacentral:rRNA from 1 species
UGCCAGCCGCCGCGGUAAUACAGGGGUGGCAAGCGUUGUUCGGAAUUACUGGGCGUAAAGGGCGCGCAGGCGGUCUGCCAAGUCCCGUGUGAAAUCCCCCGGCUCAACUGGGGAACUGCGCGGGAAACUAGUGGACUUGAGUUCGGGAGAGGAAAGCGGAAUUCCGGGUGUAGCGGUGAAAUGCGCAGAUAUCCGGAGGAACACCAGUGGCGAAGGCGGCUUUCUGGACCGAUACUGACGCUGAGACGCGAAAGCGUGGGGAGCAAACAGGAUUAGAUA